UACGUAGGGGGCUAGCGUUGUCCGGAAUCAUUGGGCGUAAAGCGCGUGUAGGCGGUCCGGUAAGUCCGCUGUGAAAGUCGGGGGCUCAACCCUCGAAUGCCGGUGGAUACUGUCGGGCUAGAGUGCGGAAGAGGCGAGUGGAAUUCCUGGUGUAGCGGUGAAAUGACGCAGAUAUCAGGAGGAACACCAAUUGCGAAGGCAGCUCGCUGGGACGUUACUGACGCUGAGACGCGAAAGCGUGGGGAGCAAACAGG
rnacentral:rRNA from 1 species